UUCGUAGGCGGUGCGGCAAGUCGGGAGUGAAAUCUCUGGGCUUAACUCAGAGGCUGCUUCCGAAACUGCCGCGCUAGAGUGCGGGAGAGGCCAGUGGAAUUGCAGGUGUAGCGGUGAAAUGCGUAGAUAUCUGCAGGAACACCCGUGGCGAAGGCGGCUGGCUGGACCGUAACUGACGCUGAGGAACGAAAGCUAGGGGAGCAAACAGGAUUAGAUACCCCUGGUAGUCCUAGCCCUAAACCAUCAGGACUUGGGGUGCAUCCCGUUGGGGGUGCGUCCCGUAGCUAACGCGUUAAGUCCUGCGCCUGGGGAGUACGGUCGCAAGGCUGAA
rnacentral:rRNA from 1 species